CACAUCCAUUGGAUGCCGGGGAGGAGCCUGCAACUGAGAUGGAUCUGAGAAUGCUGUCUGGGCUUGGUGCCAAGCGCUGGUAUUUCACAGCAGCGACCGCCUCACAGACGAGCUGUGGGAAGCAGGAGGGAGACUCUCUCUUAGGGUGCCACUACUAUGGAGACACAGCUGGGCUGAACAAGAUUCGCUUCAAACGACAACAAGAGAGACAGAAAGUAUCUGGCUCAACCGCUGCCCAAGCAGGCAGGCACCAGAAGAGCUAGCAGCCAAUCCGGCCAUGCUCGAAGCCAGCUCUGCAGCUCAGCCAAUCAGUGACAUCACCGCAGUUUUAUUUAGCCUGCCCACAGUGAUAUGAAGAUCUGAAUGAAUAACAACACUCAACCAGAGCUUCACCUGAAGAAAAUUCACUGUUCUG